GCUUAAUUCCACAAGACCAAAUCACCGCUCUCUUUCUUAAAAUAGCAAUUCUUAUCUCUAAUUACCUCCAUUUGCCUUGCCUCCAGACAAAGAAUAACUAACCAGGUCCCAUCAACUCCUUCUUUAUAAUUUUCAUUUCUCCACUGCUCAACAAAGACACAUUCAUAUCAACCCACCUUCUCCCUUUUCCAAUCAAAUGGACCGGUUUCUCCAGCAAAUCGAUUGUAACAUCUUAAGUCUUAAGCAAUUAGUCAUUGCUACCUGACUAAUCGGCUUACAGUUCCACUCUGACAACUCCAGUGCCUGCCAGUCACCUCUCAGCACCUCCAUAAUCACACAUCUUCUUCAUCUCUCUAGAUGUGCCCAGGCUCGUGGCAUCUUCCCCAGAGGAAACAAGCAACACCUGACCAUGGCUUCUGAGUCCUAGCCUGAACUGACAUAUGCCACUCACGUCUCCGUUUACUGUCUUCAAAGUCCUUCAACACUGCCGCUUCCUUCGCAAGGUUGGUGCUGUUUCUCAGUCUGCUGUCCCUGCUGCACUUGCCAUUGACAGCAUCACGCGGUGUCUGUGCGGUUGGGCUCAUGUGGCACCCACUCCUCUCUCUGUAUGCUCUAUUUUCUCCCUCUCAAUUUCAUACUAUCUCCAUAUAAGGUGGGCUUACUUUGAAACAUAAGCUCAUGGUCCAACAUAGGCAGUACCAACACUCCGCAGAAGGGCUUACAGAACAAACUAGGUGUAAAUCUAGAACAGAAUUACAUGGUUCCCAUUAAAACAUCCCAUAAUCAAAGCUGCUGCAUUUAAAAAAAACAUCAAGUUUUAGAGUACUUUAAAAGUAGCAUUUCAAUUUGGUCUGAUGUCACUUAGAAAACACAAUGAGUAAAAUUUGAGGGACGUGCACAGAUGUUAAGUAGACUAUGUCAUUCCCGAGGCUUUUACUUCUGAGUGUUCCGGUGUGCAAUGGAAAAUUCUUAACAUGAGCUCCCUUAACUUACGAUGUCAUAUUGUGUGUUCUAUGUUUAGACACCUUAUAAUAAAAUUUUAUAGAAUUGACCUUUCAGAGGGCCUGAAGACUUUUAAUAGCAACUUAGACAACUCAUAUAUUAUCAGCAAGAAAGUAAUAGAACAGAGAGCCAGGCCAGGAGGAAAACAGGUUUUAUGGACACCAAACAGAUUAAGUCAUGUUGGCAAGCCAUAAAGGCCUAUUUGCAAAAUCUACUUAAGAGGCAUCAUGAGAGAGAUUGCUGGGAGAGCACUGUGACUCUUAAGGUCUUCUCAUCUGAAACACUGGGAGGAACUACAAGAUACAAUGCCUUCUGUCACCAGGGCAGUGGACUACGCACAAAACAGUGUCUCUGACUUGCACACCUUUGUAGCUGCUCUCCAGAUAAAGAAACUGAAGCUCAAGGAGCUUAAGCGACUUGCUCAGACGAGUAACCAAGUAUCAUGUUGCCAGGGGCUUUCACCACAUCAAUAGAUAAAUGAAAUAUGCAGACACUGCCUUCUGGGUCUUUGGAUUAUGGGAGUAUCAAACGAUAUUAUGGUUUACUAUAAUCUGGUUGACAAGUUGCUUCCUGAAAUCCUACUGAGGGAUUGUCGUACCUACUGAGUGUAGGUACGACAACCCCACCAGCCAUUCCUCUCCUGGACCUAUGGAAUUCAGGUCUCCUGAGACAAACGUUGUAAGGCAAUUUUGUAACUUAAGAUCAAUGGAGAAAGUAAGCUGAAAGCCAGUGUCCAAAGCCAGCCCUAAAAUUCUGCGGGGUUUGCAAGUGAGGUUCUCACUGCCGUGGGGCCACCUGCACUUGGGUCCUUUUGGCCCUUGGUGAUUGUCAUGUGUUUCACAGGGAAUGUCUACUUCUUUGCAACACUUGCCGUGGCAUCUUUUCUGUUUUAAAUGAGUGGCUUUUCUUGCUGAAGUAUUAUAGACUCUGUUCUGUGACUUGUAUGAAAAGACAGAGGGCUUCAGUCCUCUCUAGUGCCAUGCUGGAAUGGUGUGUCACAUGAGGAAGAUGCUUAGCAAAUGUUUGUGGGGUUCAAUAAAAACCACGUGCUGAUUUCAGGUAUAUCUUUACCUGAAAAUGUACAAAGGAUUGGCUGGAAACUGCCAGGGAAAUAAUUAUAUGGACUACACAUGGUGAUAAGUACAGUAUGAGAAGGAAGGCAAAGAGCAACACGGAGAACAAGGCUCCGUGGAACAGAAUACAAUGUUAAGCAUGAAACUCCAGGGGCCCAAGAGAUGGCUCAGCGGUUAAGAGCACUGGCUGCUCUUCCAGAGGUCCUGAGUUCAAUUCCCAGCAACCACAUGGUGGCUCACAACCAACUGUAAUAGGAUCCUAUGUUCUCUUCUGCUGUGUCUAAAGAUAGCCAAAAUAUACUCAUAUAGAUUAAAAAAAAUUUAAAAGCUCUAGACCAUGUGCGCACUCACCCUGCCAUGUCCCCACAAAGUUACCGAUUCUGAUCUACAUUACCAAAAGUAAGAUCAAAAUUAACGCUGCUUUCAGAGGACUGUGUAAGUUAAGUGUAGCGGGUCCUUCUAUCCAGUAACAAAUCACACUAAGUACAGAUCUUUACUGCUGAAAACAAUCCUACGGAAACGGGAACAAAACUGCCUUUUAUGGUCUACAGAAUGUCUGAUGUCUAGAGCAGACGCCGAGUUUAGAACUAACAUUACGGAUAACUGGAUAACUGUAGGACUUCUAGUAGCUUACCAAUCGAUUCAGGAUUCACUUCCAUAAAUGUUACUCGAGGAGUCAGAAAUAUACAAACCCCAAGUUGUACGCCGGUAUGAACAUUUUAUACUUUCACUGACUUGUACUUCAAGUAUGUUUUCAAGCCUUAGAAAACAGCUUCCAGAGGAGGUUGACAAUGACUGCCUUGGUUCUGUUUGGCUUUCUAACUUUUUGGUCUCAAUAGAUGAACCUUGUCAACUUUUACAGCUUGAGCUGGGACAGUGCUGUGUUCAGGGAAUUCCCGAGAUGGUAAAAGGAGGACAGCAGCAUGUAGACUCUCUCUCAGGAGCAAGGAACCAGGCCUGGUAUAAUAGACCUGGCAGCUCAGCUCUUUGGAGCUUGAGAGGCAGAGGUAGGGGGCCCUGAGCUUGGAGGUGACCUGUGCUACACAGGGAGAACUUGUUUUUGUUUUAAAAUGUGUGUGUGACAGCCAAACACUGGAGUUGGCAACUCUUAACAGAAGAGCUAGGGGAAGGAUUGAAGGCCCUGAGGGGGAUGGGAACCCACAGAAGGACCAACAGAGUCAACCAGCCUGGACCUCUGGGAACUCUCAGAGACUGAGCCACCCAAGAACACACACAGGCUGGAACAAGGCAUCCCCGGCACAUAUGUAGCAGAUGUUCAGCUCAGUCCCCAUGUAGGCUCCCCAACAACUGGAGUGCAGGUUCUCCUCAAAGCUGUACCCUGAUUGUGGAACCCAUUCCCCAAAAGGGCUGCCUUGUCUGGCCUCAGUGGGAGAGGAUGCACUAAUCUGGCAGAGACUUGAAGGACCAGGAUAGGAGGAUACCCAGGGAGAUGCCAUCCUCUCAGGGAAGAGAAGAGGGGAUGGAGGGAGGGUCUCUGGGAAUGGAGACAAGCAGAGUUUGGGAUGUAAAUGAAUAAAUACAAAUUCAAAGAAAAACUCUCGCGCAGGAUUCUCGCAGGAGGCCAUCUGUACUUGUAUCCUUUGGCCUCCUUUGGAUCCCUGUCAGGUCUCACAGGGAAGGAAUGACAUUUCUUAUGACAAGAAGCCUUUUCUAAAAAAAAAAAUUCAAGUAAAGGACUGGGUGUAUUCCUAAGCAGUUGUUACACAGAUCUACAGAAGUCAGAAAAUGUUUGCCCUAACUCUAGCUGUAACUUCAGAGAUGGUAAGAAAAGAGAAUGCACAAAGAAACAGCCAGCCAAGAGCUAAGGAACAGCCUUUGUUGUAGAAUCCUGUCACUGAUACAUAGGCAAUAACAACAAUAAAAUUUACUGCGUCUCUCUUCAUUUCAUUUCUCACUUAGAAACAUAAUAAUUACAAUAAUAAAAAUAAAAUUACUCUAAUGGCCCAGAGGGUAUAAAAAUGCUAAAGCAUUUAUGUAAAUGGGGCUUACUCAUUAAAGCACAUUGACAAAAAUAUGAAUUAUAUUUAAUUCUACUAUAGGGGCUGAGAUGAAAACAGCCUAAUAGAUUGGGCAAGAGUAAAGUUUACCUCCUGGCUCUUAACUUGUGUGAACUUGGGCAAGUCAUCAGUUAGUGAUUAAUAUGAGAUGCCUCCAUCUGUAAAGUCACACUGUACUACACCCCAACUGCAGAAGAAUAUCUGAGCCUGCGAGAGUGAGAAGAUUCCCUCAGAACUUAAAAAGCCAAGUCCAGAUGUACAGGAAACAUUCAUUUUACUUCAACUUUGCAGACAAGACAAUGUCUCCCAGUGGCAUAAGAGAGGCUGGAGCGUUCCACUGUUCAUAAAUACAGUCAUGCUUAUUGAUUCCCAAGGCUUGUGUCUACACGAGAGCAUGCUCUGAGGGUAAACAGAGGGUAAGUUCUAGGGGAAAGAAUGUAGUGAGUCAUUAGAACUUGAAGCGAAAUGAAACGCUACAUCAAAUCCCGUCGAAACUUCAGGACUUAAAACGAGAAACCACCAUUUCCCAUGAGAAUUCGGCAAUUAUAAAGGUAAUGAAUGCUAGGAGGGAGUCCUGAGCAGACAUGUUUGAACACAAGUGUUUUCAGUGAAAUCAGUCAUUCUGUAAAAUGCAGUCACUAUUAAUUAAGGCCCAAACCGGGAGAAUCUUUAUGGAGUUGCAUAUGGACACAGGAUGACCGGAGUAGCUCACUGUGAUUGAUGUUAUCAUUCUGAAUACCACAGUUGUUGCUAACGAUUUGGGGGCCUUCUAUGAAGUCCACGUCAGGGUGCUUAGUCUACUUGGCUCAUCCUUGUUCCUCAGUCAGGAUCGUCUCUCCUGUGGCCCUUUCCAAACAUCCGGUUCCUCUACAGUCACAGCCUGCAGGUAAGGGCUUCCUCUACAGUCACAGCCUGCAGGUAAGGGCUUCCUCUACUGCUAGCCUGUUUUGGACAGAUCUUAACAUCAGGCCUAAGCAAGAAUUCUGAGAAAACCAACCUAUUUAAACAGCAAGAAAGCAUUACAAAUUUAUUUUCCAUCUGUUUUCAUAUUUAACUAAAAUAAGAACCCAUUUGAUGUUAUAUGAAUUCACUUCUGAAAAUCGGGUUGUGAUUUUUUUUUAUUACUGUAUUAAAAGUCAGGCUUUAAUAAGUAAGCUCAGAGACUUCAGAGCCAAUUACUGCUUAUCCUCCCAAAAUCAGAGCUUAAGAACAUGAGUAAUACAAAAACUGCAUAUAGUCUAUCCAUCUACACGACAAGGAGACCCCUUAGGGACGGAGCACAUAUCUACGUAGGCUCAGAUAUACACACGUUUAAUGAUUUUUCUUUGUGGCCUAAUGUUUAAACGAUUUUAAAUACACACCAAGGUUCUCCAAAUUCAUACCCUGAUGUUAACAUUAAGCCUGAUAUUUAAUGUCAAAAUUAUGUGUUAUAGAUAAAAUUGGACAGGAUCAGUCUCUGAAACUAGUGACUCUUAUUCCACAGAGGCAAGUAGAACCCCUACUAUAAACACACAUCCUGAUAUCACAGGAGAAGCCACUGCUGACUGACUGAGGAAGGCUGCAUGUCUCCAGGUCUGGGGGUUGCCUUAUAUCCUGCUGUCAGUCUGUGGUUGCUUGGAUUGGCCAUCACUGGGAUAUACAGACUUAGCUGUGGAGAUGCACAUAGGGCCUUGCGUCCCUUACCUCCCUGGUUACUGCUUUGUAGCCUAUGAGAGUCUCAGACUAGAUGAGGUCACAGGAUGAUACCAGCCUUGACACUCAUCUCUGAUAACACCCCAACCUCAUUGGUUGGUGAUCAUAGCAGUUCUUUUAUAGACAGUCCAAUGGAAUUGUUUCCAGUGUGUGAGCAUGUGCCUACACUGUGCACGCAUGUCAUGGAGGUGCAUGUGGAGGUCAGGGGACAGCUUUAGGGAGUCCACUUUCUCCCUCCAAUUUGUGGACACAGGGCGUCUUGCUUCUGCUGACUUGUAUACCCCAGGUGGGCCAGCCUCCCAGGGGAAUUCUCUUGUCCUCACCUAACACCCCCAACUCCAUCUUGGGGUUGGAGUGCUGAGAUUAGAAAUCUGUUUUUGUUUUUGUUCAUUUUCAAAUAGUAGUUUUGAUCAGGCCAUUGGCUUGCUUUAACCCACAUUUAGCCAUUUUGCAGGUCCCUUAAAAUUAUUUUAAGUGGUGUCAAGUCAUCUGUAAUAAACAUUAGAAACCCAGUGAAAUUCAAGUAUUGCCUCCUCAGUGUUUCACCUUGUAAGGCAAACUUUCAAAUAAGCAUCUUAUUGAUUUUCCUUUCUUUCUUUUCUUUUCCUUUUUAAAAGAAUUUCUCCCAUCUGCACGUUCCCAAGCAAAUGGUAUCUUUUCUGAAGUUCUAAAUUCACAACUACAAAGCCAUGUCCUCAUGGAGUUAAAAUAUGGCAAGAAAUCAUUCUUACCCUUUCUCCUCUGAAAGUUUUAGUGGUUAGAGUUAAUGAGUGUGUUUCAACAGUUUAACACACAUCUCACUCAUGUGUGCCAGGAAUCAGACUUCCUCAGACUGAUCCUCUCCCAGCACAGUUAGAUGCUUACAGAGAGGUUGGACAGGGCUCAUCCAGGUCACAGACGCUUAAUCCCUUCAAUCUUUAGAAAACACAGUAACAGUUUCUGGAAGCUUCUAUUUAUCCUAUAGCGGGUUUCGUCUCUCAUCGUCAAUGGCUUUUCUCUUCCAAACCUGGUUCUUAUUCCCCACAGCUCUCUUCUGUGCUUUUGUAAGAACCACCACAUGUCCUGGUGAAGACGGACUGACAGCCAGCAGGACAGAUCUUUGUGGAAAUGGAAGCUACCACCAGUUUUAACAAUGCCAGCUUGAACUGCAGAAGAGUUUACUGCUGGGUGCCCUUUCCAUGUGGCAGUAAAUUACCAACAAUUAAAGAGCCCGUUUCCCUCACCCCGUGCUUUACCGCUUUUCUCAGCUCCCAGCAAUAACAUAAAAACCACCCCCAAAGACAAAACCUGCCGCUGAGGGGGCAGCACUGUGGUGAUUUUCUAAGGCAUUAUGAUCAAUAAUGAUCAACAGAGCGUGGGAUAAUAGCUCCCCUUAAUUUACUGGUUUCUUUGAAGGGUUAAAAUAUGGCAGAUGUUGACAGCUGACACUCCACACUAACAGGACAGACACAUUGCUGUGGGGCCUGGUCUAGGCUUUCCCUUCCCUGCAGCUGUCUGUGUAGAACUAAUUGUAUCCACUUGUUUAACCUCAGGGACGUCUGGAGGGGACCCAGUGCCACAAGGGUACCUUUUUUUUUUUUUUUAACGGUCAUUUCCUUUCUGGUGUAACUGGCAUGACAGCAUGUGACAAACAGAAAUUAAUGGGGACACUGCUGUGCCAAUUCCUCCUGAAUUGCCGACACUGGCUACAGGCUGCCUGUUUGCCACCCAGCCAAGACCUCACAUGAAACAUGGCGAAGGGCCCACAGCUCUAUUCACCGAAAAGCCAGCUGGUCAGUGAUGAGAAGGGCCUGAACAAUGUGGUGCGUACAAACCAGGAAGAAAAUGCUUUCUGAACCAAUUCAAACCAAAGAGGUGGCAUUUGCUAGGAGUUAAUAUGACCAUUUAUUUUCCUGAGUGGUACAUCGCAGGGCUCCAAUUUCCAAAGUAAUUCAAAUGCACAAAGCACAUCUCACAUAAGGACUCCUAAGGUGUAAGUUUGGAGGAACCGUCACUCCAGCAAGAUGGAGCUAUGUGAGACUAGUUUCCAAGGAAGCCUCCUGUUAGUAGGCUGCUUCCAGAAGGGCUUGGGAGUUGCCAUAUCUCUUUCCUCCAGCUAACAACCACAGUGCUGGUUUAGAAUUCUAUGCAUGGAUAUCUCUUUCACUCUUUCUCCCACGUACAAGUGCACACGCAAGCACAUACACACAAAAGAACCCCCAGUUCAAGCUCAUUAACUGCCUGCCACAAAGUUUGCAGGGUUGAGGAAUAUGCCUCAACUUUGGCAAGGUAUACUUUCCCUUCUUCACAUAAUCAGCAAUGAACCUUGGCUUGUCAUCACUUACAACACUGGCUCUGCUAUGGAUCAGGUCUGGCUGAUCUGAGCACAUAGGACUAUGUAAAUGCACAUUUUUUAAAAAGUUGGCAUAAAAACCAGUUUGGGUGGCACACACCUUUAGUCUAAGCAUUUAGGUGGCAGAGGCAGGGGGAAUCUCUGUGGGUUCCAAGGCAGCCUAAUGGACACGUCAGCUUCCUAGCCCGCCUGGGUUAUAUAGUGUGUUUACAGAAAAGGCACUAGGCAGGAAAGUUACCUAGUGAUGAGUCUGAGUACAACCUAUAAGUCAAGCCUAAGAAGAAAAGAUGGGAAAAAAACCCACUCUAGCAGGACCUCGUUACCACAUUUAUGCAACUCUAAAGGCAUUUAAAAGUGACUCAGCAUGACUUGAUGGGGAAUUUCGGUGCUCCAAAGUAAUAUGUUUAAGUCACUUUUUCUCCUGUUCAAGGUUUUAAAGUGUAAAAGUUGACAAGGAUGUGUUAUGGAGCAUAUGGGACCCACGUCGACCUGGAAUCUCCCAAAGAGCAGUGACUAAGGAAUAUGGUGAACAAGCUUUUGGACACUCCCCGUGACCCCGUGUCAUCUGGUGGCAGAUGGACACAUGAAGAUGGAAAGUAAAGGCAGAACUGAGCUCCACAGCAAAACAGAUUCCAGGAUAACAGUCUGAACUAGAGAGGCGAGCCAGCCACGUCCACAAGUCCACACCCGCCUGUUGGCUGGUUUCACAGAAGAGCGGUCCACAGGCAAAUGUCAUCAUGAGACAAGGACAGAUGGACCUACAGAGCAUUGCAGCAAAUUGUCAAUUUGACCUAGAAAUUUUUUACUUAAAACCGCUGGAAAGAACAGCCUCUUAAUGUUGUUAUUAUUGUUGUUGUUGUUAUUAUUAUUAAUUAACUUUAUUUUUUUACAGCUUUUUAGAGAUGAUGUAGAGGCAUAGCCUGUGACUUAUUUUAUCAAGGCCUAACAAGAUGACAACGCAGUAAUGACAGGAUGUCCUCUACAAACUGACCUUGUCAAUACCAACCUGCACAACCACAUAAACUUCCACGAUUUUUAAUUUUCUCAAAACAAAUGUUAUUCAGAUAUCUGAAGAAUUGUUUUGUGAGAGGUAUUUCUAAAGUCCUCCAUGGGCUGUUUUCUAACAAAUAUGUCGAUUAAAUGAUAAUUCUAACAAAAAGAUUUUAUCUCCUUCUAGACACUAUAAAACAUUAAAGUUUUAUGUAAGCCCUGCCUUCCUAUAGGUGGCAAACUAACAGGUAAACAAUGCCGUGGAGCAGAAUAGGAAGAUGGUAAAGUCCUGGACCUACACCAUCUCACAUGACUGUACUCUUUUGAUUUUGUUGUUGCUGCUGCUGCUAUUUUGUAUCUAUUUUAUGUUAAAAUAUCGUCCAGAUUAUUAUUAUCAACAUAGCAUGUUUCAAUGCAUGUAAAAUAAUGUCAAUACAUUAUCUAUUAACACUCUA